UACGAAGGGGGCUAGCGUUGCUCGGAAUGACUGGGCGUAAAGGGCGCGUAGGCGGCUUGCAUCGUCAGAUGUGAAAUUCCUGGGCUUAACCUGGGGGCUGCAUUUGAUACGUGUGGGCUUGAGUGCGGAAGAGGGUCGUGGAAUUCCCAGUGUAGAGGUGAAAUUCGUAGAUAUUGGGAAGAACACCGGUGGCGAAGGCGGCGACCUGGUCCGUGACUGACGCUGAGGCGCGAAAGCGUGGGGAGCAAACAGG
rnacentral:rRNA from 1 species